rnacentral:rRNA from 1 species
GACGAACGCUGGCGGCGUGCUUAACACAUGCAAGUCGAACGGAAAGGCCCUGCUUUUGUGGGGUGCUCGAUUGGCGAACGGGUGAGUAACACGUGAGUAACCUGCCCUUGACUUUGGGAUAACUUCAGGAAACUGGGGCUAAUACCGGAUAGGAUCUCCUGCUGCAUGGUGGGGGUUGGAAAGUUUCGGCGGUUGGGGAUGGACUCGCGGCUUAUCAGCUUGUUGGUGGGGUAGUGGCUUACCAAGGCUUUGACGGGUAGCCGGCCUGAGAGGGUGACCGGCCACAUGGGGACUGAGAUACGGACCAGAAGCCUACGGGAGGCAGCAGUGGGGAAUAUUGCACAAUGGGCGGAAGCCUGAUGCAGCAACGCCGCGUGCGGGAUGACGGCCUUCGGGUUGUAAACCGCUUUCGCCUGUGACGAAGCGUGAGUGACGGUAAUGGGUAAAGAAGCACCGGCUAACUACGUG